rnacentral:rRNA from 1 species
CGACUUGGAGGUUGUUCCCUUGAGGAGUGGCUUCCGGAGCUAACGCGUUAAGUCGACCGCCUGGGGAGUACGGCCGCAAGGUUAAAACUCAAAUGAAUUGACGGGGGCCCGCACAAGCGGUGGAGCAUGUGGUUUAAUUCGAUGCAACGCGAAGAACCUUACCUACUCUUGGCAUCCAGAGAACUUAGCAGAGAUGCUUUGGUGCCUUCGGGAACUCUGAGACAGGUGCUGCAUGGCUGUCGUCAGCUCGUGUUGUGAAAUGUUGGGUUAAGUCCCGCAACGAGCGCAACCCUUAUCCUUUGUUGCCAGCGAUUCGGUCGGGAACUCAAAGGAGACUGCCGGUGAUAAACCGGAGGAAGGUGGGGAUGACGUCAAGUCAUCAUGGCCCUUACGAGUAGGGCUACACACGUGCUACAAUGGCGCAUACAAAGAGAAGCGACCUCGCGAGAGCAAGCGGACCUCAUAAAGUGCGUCGUAGUCCGGAUCGGAGUCUGCAACUCGACUCCGUGAAGUCGGAAUCGCUAGUAAUCGUGGAUCAGAAUGCCACGGUGAAUACGUUCCCGGGCCUUGUACACACCGCCCGUCACACCAUGGGAGUGGGUUGCAAAAGAAGUAGGUAGCUUAACCUUCGGGAGGGCGCUUACCACUUUGUGAUUCAUGACUGGGGUGAAGUCGUAACAAGGUAAC